rnacentral:rRNA from 1 species
CCUUAUGAUUUGGGCUACACACGUGCUACAAUGGACAAUACAAAGGGUAGCGAAACCGCGAGGUCAAGCAAAUCCCAUAAAGUUGUUCUCAGUUCGGAUUGUAGUCUGCAACUCGACUAUAUGAAGCUGGAAUCGCUAGUAAUCGUAGAUCAGCAUGCUACGGUGAAUACGUUCCCGGGUCUUGUACACACCGCCCGUCACACCACGAGAGUUUGUAACACCCGAAGCCGGUGGAGUAACCAUUUGGAGCUAGCCGUCGAAGGUGGGACAAAUGAUUGGGGUGAAGUCGUAACAAGGUAGCCGUAUCGGAAGGUGCGGCUGGAUCACCUCCUUUCUAAGGA